rnacentral:lncRNA from 1 species
GUGUGUGGUGAGGAAGGAAGAGAGGGAAGAAAUACUGCUGUCCCUCCUACGUCUUAAUGGCAAUGUUGGUAUUUGUUAAGCGCUUACUAUGUGCAGAGCACUGUUCUAAGCGCUAGGGUAGACACAGGGGAAUCAGGUUGUCCCACGUGGGGCUCCCAGUCUUUAUCCCUAUUUUACAGAUGAGGUAACUGAGGCACAAAGAAGUUAAGUGACUUGCCCACAGUCACACAGCUGACAAGUGGCAGAGCUGGGAUUUGAACUCAUGACCUCUGACUCCAAAGCCCAUGCUCUUUCCACUGAGCCACGCUGCUUCUCCAAUGGUACAUGCUACUUGGUUUCCAAAUGGCUGCGACUCUAGGACCCAUGACCAAUCCAUUAAACCAGAAGAGGAGCAAAAGCCCUAGGUGGAGGAUGGCAGUCUUGCUGAACCAGAAACCUGGAAGGAGUCAGCCAUUGCUGUGGUUUCUCACCCAGCAGUGGGAGAUCAUUCUGGCACACAUGUUUUCCAAGCGGGUCAGCGUGGUUUCUCUUCUGGUCCUCAUCAGCGACUGGACUGACAGUCGCACUGGCCCCUUCCCAACCUAA